GGACCGAAGGGUGGGAGUUUCGCCCCCAUGGGCCGCAGGUCCUGAGGAUUAUAUCACACCGUCUUGAUUGCCAUUUUAUUCGUGAGAUCCGAUCAGCCCAGGUGAUCUAUGUAAGAAUUGGACUAAAUGUGGAAAUCCACUUCUGGAAAAUGUCUGACAGCCACUCUUUACCACUGUUGCCUGCAACAGAGCUGGUCACGCAUCGCAAGGGAUUAGGACCAAAAUUGAGGCAUCCAGCACCCCGUGUUUCCCACCUGGGUGGAAAAGCGGAGGGAAGCGCCAGGGCGGAACUGGCUGCUGUGUCUCAAGGACUCUAGGAGAAGCCUCGGUCCCCGGGGCGGCAAAGGGGACCCGAGUGAGGCUUGAGGACUUAGAAAUGACAAUGGCGCCAGGGAGCGUCCCAGAUACCGGCUUCCAAGCGGCUAAAGCGGCUGAGGCGCGAAGAAGAAGCAGUGUAUCUCCCGUGCCCUCUGCUGACAAAGCUUAACAUCACGCCAGCCAUCAAAGGAAAGAUAUUUAAAGGCCCAGAUCCUUUUUUGGAGAGCAGACAAUGAAGGAUACACUUGGAGCUGAGAGGCGAGUAAUUGAUAACUGGUGCAACUCGGCUCAAACAUCCACAGAAAUUCUAUAGUUCAGCCAUAUUUUGCUUAAGGCUUGAGACAAUGAGAAAUACAUCAAGGAGUUCCCGUCAUGGCGCGGUGGUUAACGAAUCCCGACUAGGAACCAUGAGGUUUCGGGUUCGAUCCCUGGCCUUGCUCAGUGGGUGGUGUAGGUUGCAGACGUGGCUCGGCUCAGAUCCCGCAGCUGUAGCCACCAGCCUAUGCCACAGGCACAGCAACACAGAUCCGAGCUGCACCUGCGACCUACACCACAGCUCACAGCAAUGCUGGAUCCUUAACCCACUGAGCGAGGCCUAGGAUCGAACCCACAACACUCAUGUUUCCUGGUUGGAUUCGUUAACCACUGAGCCACGACAGGAACAACCUUAUCUUCAGCAGUGAGGCCUUCCAGGGAGGCUACAUGGGCCUGGGAAGGAAAGGGAGAGUGGAGAGUGUUCUCUGAGGAAGCCACAGGAGGACUGGCAAAGGGCGGACGGCUCAGGGAUACUCUAUUAGCUCUACCUUGAUCUGGGCAACUGUCUCCAGGCCGGUCACUUCAAGAGCAUGCAGCUCCCAGACGUGGACAAACAGCUGUAUCUUGGCGACCUGACAGAGAAGAGUGAGGUCAGGAGCGGGGAGACGUAGGGGGAGAGGGGUGGGAGUACAGGACAGUUCUUGGGUCCGAAGGGCGCUUGUGCAGCGGACCGCAUUCUUAGGAGAAUCGUGAGGCAGAGCUGGCCAGAGCCCGUAGGAGGGGCACAAGCGGGGCAGGUCAGGACCUGCUUCCUGGUCCUCGGAGCCCUGCAGCCGUCAGUCCCUCAGGUUUCACGGUUCCGUUCUACCAGGAUCUUACCUGGACCCUGUCUCGCGACGCCGCUGUAACCGUGGAAACACAACUCAGAAGCGGGCGCGAACACAUCCGCCACUAGGGGCGCAGUGUGUCCCUGCCGCGAGCCUUCUCACGCCUUCCACUGGGGCCACACCCCCUCCUUUGCCGCGCCCCUCCACGAUCUGCGCAGGCGCGGGCACCGGCCUGGGCGCCGAGGCUUUCGGAGGGGUUGGCCAAGACGGCAGCGCGCGUGUUCCGUCCGACGCUUGGUGAGCUGGAAAGUUGGCUCCCUGCCCGACUGUGGACCGCGGGAAAUGAUGGGAGCCGCUAGGUCUAGCACUCUUAGGAAGGCCCAGAUUUUUGUCGGGACCUCGGAACAAUGAGUUUUUCUCCUUCAAGAUGACAUUUUUAAAAGCAGAGACAGGGUUUUGGGGCGCACAGGAUAGACGGUAUGACGUGGCUUCAGGUGUGGCUAGCAGAGGUUUUCGCCCAGGAUGGGGAGGCGGCGGAGGUCACAGUUGGCUGCAGCUACGGAAAGCACAUUUGGUGCGGCUGCCUUAUUUCACUUAGGCAGGGGGAAGGAGGCAGGUGUGGAGGUGAAACUGCCCGGAUCGGUGGGUCCCAGAGCCUCGGUGCCCCAGCUUUGCAGUCCCUUUCUUGUAACCUUCAGGCCUAGUCCAGCACUGGACUCUGGUUCUGGAAAGAGAAAUACUCGAAGAGCGUCCUUAAGGCAGAAUAGUUAAGUUACAAAUUGUAGAAAAAAAAUCUACAACUCAGAAUUUAACCCUCCCCAGCCCUAAAUUUCAGUGAAGCUGGGUAAAAAUAACUAGGUAAGUUGGUCCCAGAAAAAUAGACUUAAAUAUUGAAAACUUUAAAUCUUGGCCUUGUGUAAUGGUUCAGACUUUGUAGCCAGACUGAGUUCAAAUCUCAGCUCUGUUCUGUAUGGCUUAUAAUGUUAUGACCUUGGACAAGUCACAUGAUCUUUGUACCUCAGUUUUCUUUUUCUUUUUGACUUUUUAGGGCCAUACCUGCAGCAGGCUAGGGGUCGAGUAGGAGCUAUAGGUGCCAGCCUACUCCACAGCCACUGCAAUGCAGGAUCUGAGCCUGAUCUAUACCACAGCUCAUGGGAACGUGGGACCCUUAACCCACUGAAUGGGGCCAGGGAUUGAACCCAUGUCCUCAUGGAUACUAGUUAGGUUCAUUACCACUGAGCCAGGACGGGAACUUCUGCAGUUAGCUUCUUUAACCCACUGUGCCACAGCGGGAACUCCUCAUCCCUUUUUUUCUUCCUUGUAUGCCAGCAGCAUCCCAGAGCCCUCAAAGCACAUACUGUGUCCCAUCCUUUAUUUGGGAGUGGAGGUGUUGAGAGUGUGCCAUGGCUUGUAGAAGUUCCUGGGCCAGGGAUCAAACCUGCACCAUAGCAGUGACAACACUGGAUCCUUAACCCACUGUGCCCCCAGGGAACUCCUGCUGUGUCUUGAGUGCUAGCACCUCCACUCCAUGUGAGCCCAGGAUAUGGGGGUAGCGUGAAGGCUCUCGGGGACCUCCAGGUGCACUGUGAGGACAAUAGCAUCCAGCACCUUUGCCCUUGGCAUUGGUGGAAGAGCCCUACUCCCACACCUCAUGGUCUGCUGAACCUGUGCUUGGCUGGGUGGGAAUGGGAUCUAUGGUGAGAUCCCCCAGAGCAGGCAUCCCUCCUCCUGGGGAGGAGACAGAGGGCAGAUGGGGAAAGGUGAAGCACCCAGAAGACCUCAGUGGCAGGAUGCCCCCAGCAGGCCUGUUCUUGGCCUUGCCUCUCUUCCAUCCCUACUGGACAGGUGGCAUAAUGAGAACAUGGGCUUCUCUGGGUCUGAUUCUGGCCCUGCCACUCACUGCUGGUGUGACCUGGGUUAAUCACUAGCCUCUAUCAAACUCAGUUUCAGCAAAAUAGAGAUAAUCCUACACUGGACUUCAGAGGGCUCUUGGGAGGAUAAAAUGAGGAUGCACAUAAAUCACUUAGAACUCUGCUCCUUUGUUUCAAAGAUUUUCCUGAGCCUUCCUGCCCUAAAGAAGGGAGAUGUCAGCCCGAGAGUCACCUAAAGACCCACUGCAGCUGCGGUGCUGGGCUCUUCAUUUAUCCGUGCGUUUCUGCCUCCGUGGGGGGUGCUUUCAGAGGUGCAGGAUGUUCCCCCUCGUCUGCAGUGACCACCCACACCAGCUCCAUGUGAGAAGGGGGUAGCAGCUGGUUACUGGGUGGUGGUUCAGGCUUCUGGCCUCUGCCUUUUCGGGGCUAUAGAGAUAGGACCCAGAAGGCCAGGCUGCCCUCUGGAGAAAGAAGCCCCUGGCUGGGCCUGACUGGCCUUCCCUCUGGCCCCACAGAAGGCUGUGGAGGGCUUCGCCAUGACGCUGCUGGAUGUGAUGCCCAUCACCCAGAUCAGUGAGGUCUUGGGACCACGCUGGCCGAGGGCCGCUACAUCCUGGCCCCUAGAGAAGGGCUUCUGAAGCCUGCGCUACAGUGUCGCCCGCAUUACUGCCAUGCUCAAGGGGCCUCUGAGCUGGGGAGAGGUGCUGGAACUGGGACAUGGGGAGCACAGUGACUGGAUCUUGAGCCCUGGCCCUGCCCUGAAAGGGGUGCGGGUGGGAACCCACAGAAGUAUCAGCAGUGGAGGAAGGCUGACAGGGCUGGGGUCAACGGCUAGGAGCCUUCAGGGAGGGGCGUUUGUAGAGACCCACCUGGUGCAGCCAAGCAAGGGGUGGGGCGGGCUGCUGGCACCCGUGUCCAGCCCCUUCCUGCUUCGCAGGUGGCGCUUCUGGCCCUCUCCCUGGCGGGAGCAUAUGUCCUAACCCAGCUCUAGCAGGAGGCAAAUUCAGCCUCUGAAGUUCAUGUGGAACUAGGCCCCCUUGUCUCUGUGACCUGUGAGUAUGGCUGAGCCCCUGCCCUGGGCCUGGCCGGGCAGUGUGGGGCCCUACAGAGCUGGGCCUGGAGGACAGUGGCCCUGGGAGGAAGGGUUCCCUGGUGGAGGGGGGAACCAGCCAUGGUGUGCCCGCAGUCUCUUCCACCCCAGAUCCUCUUUGUCCACCCAGACAUGGCAGCCCACUCUACAAGCUUAGAGGGCAGGUUCUUCACUCCGCCUCUGGUUGCCUUGGUGAAGGCUCGUCCCCUUUCUCCACUUGGACAUGGCAGCCCCCAAGCGGCUUCCAGGGCCCUUGGGCUGGUGCCUGAUGCAGAGUAGCAGUGGGGGGGAGCAGCAGUUUCAAGGACCCAGGACAAGCAUGUCCCCUUCUCAUGGUCACUCUGGCUUCCCCUCAUGUCCAGGGUGAGGUGCUGCCUUCCAGCUGGAUGAAGCUGUAGGGAAGGUGUCCUUUUUCUGGUCGUUCCCCUCCCAGGCAGAUGGGGACAAGCCACCCAAGCAUUGAGAGGGAGCCUGCAGGCCAGAGGAUGCUGGCCCUCCCGCUCCCCACCCUUUGCCUCCACGUGUGAGCAGGGCCUGAAGCUGAACCCCUGUGGGAGGAGAGGGGUGCAGUGGAGUACAAGCUUUGGGGUCUCCCAGACCUGGACUCAAAUCACACUAGACAGUGCAAUUCCUACUCUCUAAAUGACGGCACAAUUUCAGAUUAAAAAAUAAAAAACUGAGAUAGCACUUCACACUAGGAUGGCCAUGAUUUUUUAAUUAAAAAAAUUUUUUUUCCUUUUUACUGCCCAACCUCAGCAUAUG
rnacentral:lncRNA from 1 species